rnacentral:rRNA from 1 species
UUAGCUUGCUAAACUGAUAAACCUAGCGGCGGACGGGUGAGUAACGCGUGAGCAAUCUGCCUCAUACAGGGGGAUAACAGGUGGAAACACCUGCUAAUACCGCAUAAGACUCCACUACCGCAUGGUAGAGAAGUCAAAGGGAUUACCGGUAUGAGAUGAGCUCGCGUCCCAUUAGCUAGUUGGUAGGGUAAAGGCCUACCAAGGCGACGAUGGGUAGCCGACCUGAGAGGGUGAUCGGCCACACUGGGACUGAGACACGGCCCAGACUCC